rnacentral:lncRNA from 1 species
AUGCUGACAUUUUGGAUAUGCCAAAGAGAAUUAAGAGAAAAGGUCUGCCUUUAUGUUGCUGGCGACAGUCCUCAGGUGGGCCUCCCACACCCAGCACCUCACUUACUCAGUUCAGCUGGGAGUUAUAAGUUGACCACCAGUUAUCAACCUACUACAGAGAGGAACUACAGUUUGGAGAAAGCCAAGGGGACUGCGUAUACAGGCUCUCUCCAAGGUCUAGGGCAGGAUUUCUUUUCAUUUUUUAGACUCUUAGGAGAGUUCUGAGGUGCUAUGACUGACAGGGCUCUUUCCAAUCAGCUGUGAGUCUCCACCCUCAUGUUGGGAGAGGGAGGUUUUUUUGUUUUUUGUUUUUUUGUUGGUUUGUUGUUUUCAUGGAGUUUUUUAAUUUAUCUGGGCAAGAUUAAAACUAGUGUUGUCCAAAGCCCCGGGGUGAAAGGUGCGGGUGGAGUGGUGGUGUCAAAUCCACAAAGCAAGUAUAAAUAAAUGAGGCCUUACUCGGUGGACAGUGUAACCUCAGACUUGUGCCGCAAGGUGUGCCUGAAUGAGAUUGAAAGGUGUCAGACUGGGCAGGAAGGGUAACUUGUAAGGGGCCUAAAGGUCUUGGGAAGCCUGGAAACUGCAAACUCAGGAAAUCUGGCCUCUAAAGAACCUUCUUUGAGAACCCUCUGCCAGUUUCCCAGCUCCAGCUCAUUCUUGGUUACCUACCUAGUCUAUCGGAA